AGAAGCUUGCUUCUCGCUGACGAGCGGCGGACGGGUGAGUAAUACUUAGGAAUCUACCUAGUAGUGGGGGAUAGCUCGGGGAAACUCGAAUUAAUACCGCAUACGACCUACGGGAGAAAGGGGGCAACUUGUUGCUCUCGCUAUUAGAUGAGCCUAAGUCGGAUUAGCUAGAUGGUGGGGUAAAGGCCUACCAUGGCGACGAUCUGUAGCUGGUCUGAGAGGAUGAUCAGCCACACCGGGACUGAGACACGGCCCGGACUCCUACGGGAGGCAGCAGUGGGGAAUAUUGGACAAUGGGGGCAACCCUGAUCCAGCCAUGCCGCGUGUGUGAAGAAGGCCUUUUGGUUGUAAAGCACUUUAAGCAGUGAAGAAGACUCCAUGGUUAAUACCCAUGGACGGUGACAUUAGCUGCAGAAUAAGCACCGGCUAACUCUGUGCCAGCAGCCGCGGUAAUACAGAGGGUGCAAGCGUUAAUCGGAAUUACUGGGCGUAAAGCGAGCGUAGGUGACUUGAUAAGUCAGAUGUGAAAGCCCCGGGCUCAACCUGGGAACGGCAUCUGAUACUGUUAGGCUAGAGUAGGUGAGAGGAAGGUAGAAUUCCAGGUGUAGCGGUGAAAUGCGUAGAGAUCUGGAGGAAUACCGAUGGCGAAGGCAGCCUUCUGGCAUCAUACUGACACUGAGGUUCGAAAGCGUGGGUAGCAAACAGGAUUAGAUACCCUGGUAGUCCACGCCGUAAACGAUGUCUACUAGUCGUUGGGUCCCUUGAGGACUUAGUGACGCAGCUAACGCAAUAAGUAGACCGCCUGGGGAGUACGGCCGCAAGGUUAAAACUCAAAUGAAUUGACGGGGGCCCGCACAAGCGGUGGAGCAUGUGGUUUAAUUCGAUGCAACGCGAAGAA
rnacentral:rRNA from 1 species